rnacentral:rRNA from 1 species
AGCGUUACUCGGAAUUACUGGGCGUAAAAGCGUGCGUAGGUGGUGAUUUAAGUCCGUUGUGAAAAGCCCUGGGCUCAACCUGGGAAUUGCAGUGGAUACUGGGUCCACUAGAAUGUGGUAGAGGGUAGCGGAAUUCCUUGGUGUAGCAGUGAAAUGCGUAGAGAUCAGGAGGAACAUCCGUGGCGAAGGCGGCUACCUGGACCAACAGACACUGAGGCACGAAAGCGUGGGGAGCAAACAGGAUUAGAUACCCUGGUAGUCCACGCCCUAAACGAUGCGAACUGGAUGUUGGGUGCAAUUUGGCACGCAGUAUCGAAGCUAACGCGUUAAGUUCGCCGCCUGGGGAGUACGGUCGCAAGACUGAAACUCAAAGGAAUUGACGGGGGCCCGCACAAGCGGUGGAGUAUGUGGUUUAAUUCGAUGCAACGCGAAGAACCUUACCUGGUCUUGACAGUCGAGAAC